UUUUUAAAUGUAAUUUUUAAAAUUUUUACUGUUCUUUUUGUUGUAUUGGAUUUCCUUAAUAUGACUGGUGCUUUUAAUUUUAGAGACCUGUGAUUGUUUUUUUGUUCACACUAAACUGAAAUAUAUAGUCUUUUGCAUUUCAUGCGAUGCAACUUUAUUGUCUGAAUACUUAAUACUUAAUGGUGUGGACUUUUGGGGUGCAUUGUGCUUUGUAUGGUUGAUGUUUUUUUUUUUUUUUUUUUUUGUUUUUUUUUUUUUGUUUUUUUACAAAUGCUAGUUUAUUUUCUUGCUUUUGUAGAAUUUCUCACCAAGAAUAAUUAUUUGGCUGACUGAUGGUACUUCAAAUUAAGUGGUUGAAGAAGAAUCUUGUAUCCUAAUUGGAGUCCUAAGCAAAACAGUUGAAAUAAUUCACACAAUGGAAGGAUUUUUUUGAAGAGGAAAUUACAAUGCUUGUAGCUGCUUUUGCAUUAAUUAUACAGAUUUGUAAUAUACUAGUUAUAGGUAAUGUAUUUGUAGUAAGAUAUUAUUGUACUUCCCACUGGAAAUAGAAAUCGUUAGAGAUAAAAGCCUAAUACUUAUGAGAGACAUGCCGUUAGACAAUUAUGUUAGAAGGAUGGUUUUUGAAUCUGAUUCUGUAUGGCGUAUGCAUUGGAAACACUAAGAUGUAUUAGCCAGCUUCUUACAAGGAAAAUCAUUAGGCAAAAUGUUGAUGUGGCCCAAUACAUUUAAACCUCGAAUGCAUGAACUACAUGGAGAGAUAACUUGGCACAAGAAACGUGGAAUCAGUGGUUAACUUCUAGUAAACAAAUUUUAAGUCACGUACUGAUUUUAUUCCAUUCUUGAGAAUUGCUUUGAUGAGUUGUGUUCCUUUGUACUGGACUAAUGAUUUGUUACAAUGUGUAAGAAUAAAUGCUUUGU